rnacentral:hammerhead_ribozyme from 2 species
ACGCGAAACCUCGGGCGGGCGAUCGCCCGAGGUCUGCCGGCGGUGGUGCGCCGGUACUGACGAGCAGCCAACU